UCCAGGUAGUGCAGAAUAUGCGCCCUGCAAAAUAGGAAAUAACCGGCGCCUUACGCGUCGGUUAUUUUUUUGC
rnacentral:sRNA from 1 species